rnacentral:ncRNA from 2 species
ACAUAUAGUGUAAAUAUAGGUGGCUGCAUUAUAAAUGCAACUUAAAAGGGAAUCAGGUGCAAGUCCUGUACGGUCCCGCCGCUGUAAUGGGGAGAUGUUUUACUUUUACCACUGGUAUUCCGGGAAGGUGUAAAACAUUCAUGAGCCAGAGUCAGAAUACCUGCCUAUAUUUUAUAUACCUA